rnacentral:rRNA from 1 species
AAUCAACGCUGGCGGCGUGCCUCAGACAUGCAGGUCGAACGAUUAAGACUUCCUUCGGGAGGUGCGUAAAGUGGCGCACGGGUGAGUAACACGUAAGUAAUCUACCCUCGAGUGGGGAAUAACGUUCGGAAACGAACGCUAAUACCGCAUAACGCAGCGGCACCGCAAGGUGACAGUUGUUAAAGGAGCAAUCCGCUUGAGGAGGAGCUUGCGGCAGAUUAGCUAGUUGGUAAGGUAAUGGCUUACCAAGGCUACGAUCUGUAUCCGGUCUAAGAGGACGGUCGGACACACUGACACUGAAUAACGGGUCAGACUCCUACGGGAGGCAGCAGUCGGGAAUUUUGGGCAAUGGGCGAAAGCCUGACCCAGCAACGCCGCGUGAAGGAUGAAGUAUUUCGGUAUGUAAACUUCGAAAGAAUGGGAAGAAUAAAUGACGGUACCAUUUAUAAGCUCCGGCUAACUACGUGCCAGCCGCCGCAGUAACAC